GGGGACGCCAGGUAUCGACGUAUGACGAAUUAUUGUCUGCGCAAGCCGAGGAUGCAUCGUAACCUCGUAAAUACUUCGAUGCAGUGAACAACUGCAAACAUCUUCACAAAGGUUAAGAAUGCUUUUAGCAUUCCGACACCUGCAUUGGCACUCGCCUAAGCGCGACCGCCCAUCGAAUUAUCCGACUCCUUAUACGAUAAUCUCGGUGUAAAAUCAUAAGGGACGACCUCUGUCUGCGACCGUGGCAGGAAGUCGUGUUUGACGGUCGAACCGCUCACCUUUUUUAUGUCUAACAAUAAUAGGUGAACGUAAUCAAGUUAGACUACGCUUGUAUACGCUUCUUUAACUCCCAUAUCGGACGUGGGUUCAACUCCCACCG
rnacentral:tmRNA from 1 species